AGGAACGCGUGGGUAACCUGCCCUAUACAGGGGGAGUAACGUGUAGAAAUGCACGCUAAAACCGCAUAAGCUACAUUGGUCGCAUGACGAAGGUGGAAAAACUGAGGUGGUAUAGGAUGGGCCCGCGUCUGAUUAGCUAGUUGGAGAGGUAAAGGCUCACCAAGGCGACGAUCAGUAGCCGGUCUGAGAGGAUGGACGGCCACACUGGAACUGAGACACGGUCCAGACUCCUACGGGAGGCAGCAUG
rnacentral:rRNA from 1 species